rnacentral:lncRNA from 1 species
UAGAAUUCGGUAGCUUCUGUUACUUGGCGUUGACAUCAGCAGCGGCGGAGAUAGGCCCCAGGCUGCCUGUGGGGCACGAACACUGAUUACUUUGUUGAUUGCAGCAACGGUGCAUGAAGUUGGCCGUGAGUGUGAAGGAAUCAUGGCGCCGCCACUGGGUACGGGUGGCGAUACGCGUUCGUGUCGUGCGUCGUACGUGGAUCGCUCUGUGGAGGUUGUUCCUGCAUGCAUGCCCGCCCGCCUAUGAUACAUGUGCGGGUACGAGUACGAGUGUGAGUGUGAGUGCUCGUACCGUUAUCAAUCUUUUUCUCUGGGAUGGCUUCUGUCUUGGGCCUCAAGAUGGCUACUCUUUCUUUCCUCCUCGAGUUGUACUUAGAACUUUGUGAAAGUCCGGUGCAUGUAUCCGUCGUUGAUUAUGCUGAACUUUGUGAACGACGAAUAUAUAUAUAGACUGCCGUUCGCAUUAAUAUAGCGCCGUAUCAUCUCGGUCCACUUUAUGCCAUGCAUGCAUCUCUCUCUUUGCUGCUCACAACAAACACAUGCAUGUCUCACAACAUCUCUUCUCUUUUCCUCUCAAAAUCCAUCCUUUUUAGUAUUUUUCUCAAAAUUUCAAUUGUUCAUAUCCUUAAAACCAAAACUCCUUUGUUCGAAGUGUUUACAUAUUAAUUUGAACUCAUCACAGCAAGGCCUUUAAGCAAGAUCAAUC